UACGUAGGGGGCGAGCGUUGUCCGGAUUUAUUGGGCGUAAAGAGCUCGUAGGCGGUUUGGUAAGUCGGGUGUGAAAUCUCCACGCUCAACGUGGAGGGGCCACUCGAUACUGCCAUGACUCGAGUCCGGUAGAGGAGUGUGGAAUUCCCGGUGUAGCGGUGAAAUGCGCAGAUAUCGGGAGGAACACCCGUAGCGAAGGCGGCUUGCUGGGUCUGUAUUGACGCUCAGACACGAAAGCAUGGGGAGCGAACGGG
rnacentral:rRNA from 1 species